GACAGAGGGUGCAAACGUUGCUCGGAAUUACUGGGCGUAAAGCGCGUGUAGGCGGGCCAUCAAGUCGGACGUGAAAUCCCUGAGCUCAACUCAGGAACUGCAUCCGAAACUGGUGGCCUGGAGUGGUGGAGAGGGAAGCAGAAUUCCUGGUGUAGAGGUGAAAUUCGUAGAUAUCAGGAGGAACACCGGUGGCGAAGGCGGCUUCCUGGACACUUACUGAACGCU
rnacentral:rRNA from 1 species